rnacentral:rRNA from 1 species
GACGAACGCUGGCGGCGUGCUUAACACAUGCAAGUCGUACGGUAAGGCCCUUUCGGGGGUCCACGAGUGGCGAACGGGUGAGUAACACGUGAGUAACCUGCCCACAACUUUGGGAUAACGCUAGGAAACUGGUGCUAAUACUGGAUAUGUGCUCCUGCUGCAUGGUGGGGGUUGGAAAGCUCCGGCGGUUGUGGAUGGACUCGCGGCCUAUCAGCUUGUUGGUGGGGUAGUGGCCUACCAAGGCGGCGACGGGUAGCCGGCCUGAGAGGGUGACCGGCCACAGUGGGACUGAGAUACGGCCCAGACUCCUACGGGAGGCAGCAGUGGGGAAUAUUGCACAAUGGGCGCAAGCCUGAUGCAGCAACGCCGCGUGCGGGAUGACGGCCUUCGGGUUGGAAACCGCUUUCAGCAGGGACGAAGCUUUUUGUGACGGUACCUGCAGAAGAAGCACCGGCUAACUACGUG